rnacentral:rRNA from 1 species
GAGUUUGAUCGUGGCUCAGGAUGAACGCUGGCGGCGUGCCUAACACAUGCAAGUCGAACGAAGCAAUCGGGAUGAAGUUUUCGGAUGGAUUCCUGGUUGACUGAGUGGCGGACGGGUGAGUAACGCGUGGAUAACCUGCCUCACACUGGGGGAUAACAGUUAGAAAUGGCUGCUAAUACCGCAUAAGCGCACAGUACCGCAUGGUACGGUGUGAAAAACCCAGGUGGUGUGAGAUGGAUCCGCGUCUGAUUAGCCAGUUGGCGGGGUAACGGCCCACCAAAGCGACGAUCAGUAGCCGACCUGAGAGGGUGACCGGCCACAUUGGGACUGAGACACGGCCCAAACUCCUACGGGAGCAGCAGUGGGGAAUAUGCACAAUGGGCGAAAGCCUGAUGCAGCGACGCCGCGUGAGUGAAGAAGUAUCUCGGUAUGUAAAGCUCUAUCAGCAGGGAAGAAAAUGACGGUACCUGACUAAGAAGCCCCGGCUAACUACGUGCCAGCCG